GGAUCGACGGGUUGGUCGCGCCUCUGGUGUGUACUGGCCCUGUCGGUUUCUCCCUUCUGAAGAACCGCGAUGUCAUUAAUUUGGUGUCGUGGGAAAUCAGGACUGUUACUUUGAAAAAAUUAGAGUGCUUAAAGCAGGCUAACGCUUGAAUACAUUAGCAUGGAAUAACGGAAUAGGACGCUUGAUUCUAUUUUGUUGGUUUCUAGGAUCAACGUA
rnacentral:rRNA from 1 species